UUGCGACGGGGCUUCCUAUUGGCUGCCUGGUAGGGAGGCGGGAACAUGGACGGAAAGGUCCAGAAAUCACGUGACGUCAGGAGGAGGGGUAGAGAAGAAAACCUGUGAAUGAGCCCAUUAGAGCUAACAUGGCCAAACGUCGUUCGCCUUAUUAAAGAUAUUUGGAGGAUUACACAGCAGAGGUCCCAAGGAGUACCAAGCACAGAUGGAAAGUAAAAGACAGAACUGCAGGACUACACAGAAGAACACAUAAGUCACCCUGUUGCAUCCCGCAGAGAAGUUACAGAUGUUGACAGCAGGAGUUCCUCCACUAUAAGGGUUUUGGACAUUGCCUUUCAACAGGGCUCUGAAGACCAAGCAGAUGGUGACAACCCCCUAUAUCCUGGUGCAUCUUUUUUCAAGGGAUAAAGUCUACUGAUGCUCAUGUUAUAUGUGCUGCGACACAAUUUAACAAGCAAAGCAGUUACUCACUUAUUGGAAAUGUUUAACCUAAAGUUUCCAGGUCUGAUUUUACCCAUUUCCACAAAGAAUUUAGAGGUUCAUCAUAAUCUAAAGUUAACUUUUAUUGUGAAAAAUG